CAAAAGCUUGGUCCUGACUUUACUAUCAGCUUUGAUUAAAUUUAUACAUGCAAGUAUCUGCACCCCUGUGAGAAUGCCCUAAUUAUAUCCCUCCCCGGGAAAAAAGGAGCAGACAUUAGGCACAACCUUAAGGUUAGCCCACAACGUCUUGCUUAGCCACACCCCCAAGGGACUUCAGCAGUAGUAAAUAUUAAGCUAUAAGUGAAAACUUGACUUAGUUAAGAUCAAGAGGGCCGGUUAAACUCGUGCCAGCCACCGCGGUUAUACGAGAGACCCCAGUUGACAAACAAACGGCAUAAAAAGUGGUUAGUACAAUAUUUUACUAAAGCCAAACACCUUCAAAGUUGUUAUAUGCUAUCGAAGGCAGGAAGAACCCCCACGAAAGUGGCUUUACAUUAUACGACCCCACGAAAGCUAGGGAACAAACUGGGAUUAGAUACCCCACUAUGCCUAGCCCUAAACACAGGUUUUAUAUUAUACACCUAUUUGCCAGGGAACUACGAGCCACAGCUUAAAACCCAAAGGACUUGGCGGUGCUUUAGACCCCCCUAGAGGAGCCUGUUCUAGAACCGAUGACCCCCGUUAAACCUCACCCUCUCUUGCACUUUUCCGCCUAUAUACCGCCGUCGUCAGCUCACCCUGUGAAGGACUUAAAGUGAGCAUAAUUGGUAGUACCCAAAACGCCAGGUCGAGGUGUAGCCCACGAGAGGGGAAGAAAUGGGCUACAUUCACUGACCCAGUGAACACGGAUGAUGACCUGAAAAAACAUCUAAAGGAGGAUUUAGCAGUAAGGGGAAAAAUAGAGUGUUCCCCUGAAACUGGCCCUGAAGCGCGCACACACCGCCCGUCACUCUCCCCAAAUUAAUAGCAAGCCUAAAUAAACAACUAAUAUAAAAAAGGGGAGGCAAGUCGUAACAUGGUAAGUGUACCGGAAGGUGCACUUGGAUAAAAC
rnacentral:ncRNA from 1 species